rnacentral:rRNA from 1 species
AGAGUUUGAUUAUGGCUCAGGAUGAACGCUGGCGGCGUGCCUAAUACAUGCAAGUGAAACGGGUAUCUUCGGAUACCAGUCGCGGACGGGUGAGUAAUACAUAGGCAACCUGCCUUUAUGAGGGGGAUAACCGAGGGAAACUUUGGCUAAUACCGCAUGAAGACUCUAAGGCAUCUUAGAGGGAUAAAAGUUGGGAAACAACGCAUGAAGAUGGGCUUAUGGCGCAUUAGCUAGUUGGUGAGAUAGAAGCCCACCAAGGUAAUGAUGCGUAGCCGACCUGAGAGGGUGAACGGCCACAUUGGGACUGAGACACGGCCCAAACUCCUACGGGAGGCAGCAGUAGGGAAUUUUCGGCAAUGGGGGGAACCCUGACCGAGCAACGCCGCGUGAAGGAAAGAAGGUUUUCGGAUUGUAAACUUCUGUUAUAAGGGAAGAACGGAUUGGAUAGGGAAUGAUCUGAUAGUGACGGUACCUUAUUAGAAAGCCACGGCUAACUACGUGCCAGCAGCAGC